UGGGGGAUAUUGCACAAUGGGGGAAACCCUGAUGCAGCGACGCCGCGUGAGUGAAGACGGCCUUCGGGUUGUAAAGCUCUGUCAACGGGGACGAUGAUGACGGUACCCGUGGAGGAAGCCACGGCUAACUACGUGCCAGCAGCCGCGGUAAUACGUAGGUGGCAAGCGUUGUCCGGAAUUACUGGGUGUAAAGGGAGCGUAGGCGGGGAGCCAAGUUGGAUGUGAAAUACCGCAGCUUAACUGCGGGGCUGCAUCCAAAACUGGUUCUCUUGAGUGAAGUAGAGGCAGGCGGAAUUCCUAGUGUAGCGGUGAAAUGCGUAGAUAUUAGGAGGAACACCAGUGGCGAAGGCGGCCUGCUGGGCUUUAACUGACGCUGAGGCUCGAAAGCGUGGGGAGCAAACA
rnacentral:rRNA from 1 species